CGCGCGCAGAGCGGGAAUCGGUGAUGGCGGCGGGUCCUGCCUUUGUCUGUUCCUGUCCUUGAGCCCAGGCCCUGAGGUGAGGCUGAGAAGUGGCGCGGAGGUGAGCCCAGAGCUGUCCCUGAGGUGAGGCUGAGAAUAAGUGCAAGGCAGAGGUGCUGCUGAGGAAGGAGAGCCCCAUGAUGGGG